UACGUAGGUGGCAAGCGUUGUCCGGAAUUAUUGGGCGUAAAGCGCGCGCAGGUGGUUUCUUAAGUCUGAUGUGAAAGCCCACGGCUCAACCGUGGAGGGUCAUUGGAAACUGGGGAACUUGAGUGCAGGAGAGAAGAGUGGAAUUCCACGUGUAGCGGUGAAAUGCGUAGAGAUGUGGAGGAACACCAGUGGCGAAGGCGA
rnacentral:rRNA from 1 species